UUGCUCUAAUUUCGAUGCUGGCUGUGUGCCCAAAGCCUUCCUCCCCAGGUUUUUCUGUGUCAGGUUAGUACUCCAGUAGUUAAGCAAGGACCAGUGCCCCAGUCAGCCCCACAGCAGCCUGUGACUGCUGACAAGCAGCAAGCUCAUGAACCCGUCUCUCCUCGAAGUCUUCAGCGCUCAAGUAAGAUUGUACUCCACCCAAAUAAGAAGCAAUCAAAGGAAUUAAAGCAAAUAGCAGUCAAAUUCACAUAAGUGAAUGCUAGAGGCUCAAGGAUUUGCAGAGUUACAGAGAGGCAGAGGCAAAGAAAGAGAGAAGUCUUCCAUCUGCUGGUUCACUCUCCAAAUGGCCACAACAGCUGGAACUGCAUCUGUCUGGAGCCAGGAGCUUCCCUCAGGUCUCUCAGGUUGGUGUAGGGGCCCAAGGACUUGGUCCAUCCUCUUCUGCUUUCCCAGGCCAUAGCAGAGAGCUGGAUCGAAGUGAAGCAACCAGGACUCAAACCAGCACCCAUAUGGGAUGCUGGCACUGCAGAUGGUGGCCCUACCAACUAUGCCACAUUGCUGGCCCCAGAAUUUCCAAUUUAACGUUUUUUCCUACUUGCAUUUCCAUCGAAGAAGGGGUUGAUGAUGAGAUGUUAGGAAUCUAUUAUUACAUGAAGGCAUGAGGAAUCUAUUACAGCCCUCCUGCAGUACUCCCUCUUUCCAGCUUAUGCAGACUGAAUUUACAAAUGGUUUUGGUGCUUCUAUCAAACAGUAAAUGAUUUUUCCAAUGUAAGCCAUAUUUAUUCCUAUUUUACUCAAUGUUAGCAUUAAGACUUAAUGCUAACUAGCAUUUUUAAAAAAUUUAGUUAAAAUUACAUUUGCAUAUGAAAGUGGAGACAAACUUACUAAUUUAUUCUACUUCUAAAUAUACGUAAAAUUUUCUUGAGGAAAUAGGAUGGCAGUCAAGUUAGAGAGGGCUAGUUCUUGAAAAGGAAGUUGUCAUAUGUAAUCAUUUAGGAGCGGCCAUCUGGAGGCAUGGAUGCUCUUCACUCUUCACAAUUAUUUAAUUAUGUUCUGGGUGGCAUUUCAUUGCUUGGUGUCCUUUGUGGAUAUAUUAUACUUUGUACAUCCAGUUGCUGAAUCACAGUCAUAGGCCGAUUCCAUAUUUCAGCUGUUGUGAGUAGCACUUCCAUAAACAUGGAAUGGAGAUAUCCUUUUGAUGCACUGAUGUCUUGUCUUUUGGACGUAUACCCAGUAAUGGAAUUGCGGGAUUUUGCUCAGUUCUGUUUUGUUAGAGAGACUCCCAUACUAUUUUCCAUAAUGGUUGUGCUAAUUUGCCUUCCCACAAAACACUAAAAAAAUUUCACCAGUCUUGAAAUCCAUGCCACCCUUUGUUAUUUUUUGUUUUCUUCAUGAUAGUUAUUCUACCUGGAGUGAGAUGAUAAUCUUAUUCUGGUUUUAACUUGCAUUUUUGUGUUGAUUAAUGAUGUGGAGAAUUUCUUCAUGUAACUACUGGACAUGUGCAUGUCUUCUUUUGAGAUGAGUAUGUUAAGUUCUUCAGCCUAGUUUAAAAAUUGGUGGUUUUGUUUGUUUUUUUGUUGUUGUUGCUGUUGUUUUUUGGUUUUUUUUUUAGCCCUGGGUUUUUUGAGUAAUUAUAUAGUCUGGAUAUUAACUCCUUUUAGAAAACCUGAGAAGUACUGUGUGGCAUUGUAUUGGGGACAGGUUUUGUUAUUUACUUUUUGACAUAGAAGCACAGGCUAGACUGGCCUGAGUCGUUGGCUCGGGGCUUCUCCCACACCAGGAAUCUGAAGCAGUGUCAGUGGCCGUGGGCUUAGCAGGUUGGAGCUGGAUGGACCUGAUGCAAGGUGGUGGGCACUACUGGCACAGCACCCCGGCUGGCUGCAUGGGGGAAGAGGCCCAGGCCCUGCUGCCCACGUGUGACUCUUGGGGGCUCGGCUGCCAUGCCACUUUGUCCUGGGAGGCCCUGCUACAUGCUGCUGCAUUCUGGGAGCUGGGAGCCCAACAAUGCCCUGCAGGUCUAAGGAGCCUGCCCUGGUCCCUGCACUGGCUGCAACCACUGGAGAAUGAAACACCCCCGGGUAAUAGCACCUGUGGCUUGGACAAGGAGCUCAGUGACCUCCUGGACUUCAGCAUGAUGUUCCUGCUGCCUGUGGCCAGUGGAAAGGGCUGGCCUGUCUCCUUGGCCAGCACACAGCUCAGAGGAACAGGUUCGGAGGACGGGCCCGGCUCAGGAUCCUGGGAUGCUGGCGACCAGAACACCUCCUCGUUUGACCCCGGCCAGAGCUACAGUGAAGGACCCACUUCAGUGAGUCCCACGGCAGCCUUUCUUGGUUCACAUUCCUGGGACCUGGACCUGGACUUGGAGGCAAGGGAGGCCAGUGGGGCGGGUAUCCCACCUUCUGGAGAGACACAGCUUUUGGUGGCUUGACUCAGGUCAGGUUCCUGACGGGCACGCUGGCCCUGCGCAGCCCCGGGCCAUUGUCUUUCUCAGACAUCAAGGGUAGCACCCAGUACAAUGCCUCCUAACCUGGCAACCCUUGGGGCAGAGCCUCAGGUGGCCACUGGGCCCACAGAUCAAGAAUGUCCAGAAGAUUCUACUUGUUCUUCCUUCCUCAUCGUACCCUCCCACCUCCACCCCAGCUUAAGUGACGACUAAGGCAGGGAUGCCUGUGUCUACCCAUCUGCCAAGACUCCCUGUAGCACCUGCUCUGCAGCCUUCUACUGGCCAGCCUGCACCCUUCCUUGGAGCUCCAGAGCCCCUCAGACCAGGAUGGUUUCAGGCCCAUGCUGGAUGGGAGCUCAUCCGCCUGCCCCUCUGGAUGGGCAGUGGUGAUGGGUUUUGAGGCCACAGUGCAUUUGGUAGCAUGUGCUAGGAGCAUAUGGACUACUAGCCGCAUGGAGCCGAGGUCAACAGUGGCCUCCCAGCCAUGUCCACCUUCUCAGCACCCCCAUAGCUGUGUACGGUGGCAUCUCCAGCAACACACCACCCCUCCCAUCAGUGGGGCAGGCAGCCUCAUCGGCUCCCAAGAGACCAUGGCCACCAGCAGCUAAAGAAGUAAAUAAGUCAUGGCACGCUUAACAAAAAGACAACAGGCAGAUACAGAAGCUAUCCAGCAUCUUUGGGCAUCCAUUGAGAUCAUAAGGAACCAGAAGCAAAUCACCAACAUUGACUGCAUUACAAGUUACUAUUCCAGUUUACUGCCCAAAUGCUGGCAAUGGCUGCCAGCGUUGGGGUAGCAUGGGGCGUCGUGGGAGAGCAGGGAUGCCCAGUUCGUCUGUGGGCAGCCGAGGAGAAGGAUGCAGUGGUGGUAGCGGGGACUCUGGGGAAGUGUCUGCAGGUGAGAGAACAGGAAAACAAUCCCCAGAGUUCUCUCUCAAGCCAAGAGAAUGCAGAAAAACUACAAGAUGAGAUGCAACUGAUUUACCUUUGCCAAAAAAAGGAGGUAAACAUUGCACCAAAGGAAGAGAAUUAUGAGGCAUUGAUGAACUGGAAUCUGAAGCUUAUCAACUACUCCUUUCACAUAUAAUGAGAAGACAAAUCUAAAUCAUUAUCUAGUGCUGAAAAUGCAAGAAUGUGUAAAUAUUUAAAAUAAAAAUUAUAUAAUCUGGAGAUAAAUGUUCCUGAUUAUACUUUUUACAUAAUACUUUAGAUUUUUCUACUAAAUAUAUGAUUGUGAAAAUUCUCUUUAAAAGAAAACACUUUUGAAUUAUGUGUGCUUGAUCAAAAAAUCCAGCUUUCUAAAAUAUUUAUUUGGAAAGAUGAAAGACAGGGAAAAAGCGAGAGAGAAAGGGAGGGGAAAGACAGUACUCCCUCCCACUGGUACACUGAUCCUUGGGGCAAAGUCAGUUGCCAGGAACUCAGUUCAGGUCUCUCACAUGGGUGGCAGAGAUCUCAACAACUUAAAUGGAUAGCCCCUGCCUCCCACAAUGCACUUGUCACAGGAAGCUGGAAUCAGGAUUACAGCUGAGACUCAACCUAAAUUUCUCCAAUAUGGAUUGCAGACAUUCCAAGUAGUGUCGUAACUGCUGUAUCCAAUGCUGGGCCCUAUAUAGCAUUUGAAAACUUUUCUGAGGAUCUGUAAGUUACUCUUGAGGAGGUUUUGCAAAUGCAAACCAGUGAUACUAAUAGACCCAGUGUGUCCAUAUGCCAGCUGUUAAACUGUACCCAAAUUGUUAUUGAUAAUUUAGUAGUUAAUUGUGACUUGUUUGUAUUUGUAAAUUUUUGUCAUUAUAAACAAACCUAAAUAUUUAGAUAUCUUUUUGGUACACCAGUGCUGUGGGCAUUAUCGAUGUUUGGAUAUAUUGCAAACAUUAUAAUAUCCCCAAACUUGCAGAAUUUCAAUUUUAUGCACUGAUGCUAAUAGAGCUUUCUUUACAGGGAAAUUAUGUUUACCUAAGCUUUUCAUGUGUUCUGUUUGUUUAUUUUUUUAUUAACUUUUUAGAAACAAUCUUUUUUAAAAGAUUUAUUUAUUUGAAAGAGUUACAGAGAGGCAGAGGCAGAGAGAGACGUCUUCAAUCCACUGGUUCAUUCCCCAAAUGGCCACAACAGCUAGAGCUGAGCUGAUUUGAAGCCAGGAGACAGGCGCUUCUUCUGAGUCUCCCAUGCAGGUUCAGGGUCCCAAGCACUUGGGCCAUCUUCUACUGCUUUCCCAGGCCAUAGCAGAGAGCUGGAUUGGAAGUGGAGUAGCCAAGACUCAAUCUGGCACCCAAAUGGGAUGCUGGCACAGCAGGCAUCAACUUUACCUGCUUUGCCACAGAGCCAGGCCUGGAAACAAUCUUAAAAUUAGAGAAAAGUUCCAAAUUCUAGUAUAAUUUCUGAACCUGAAACAUUUGAGAAUAAACUGUUGAGGACAUUAAAUGAUCACCACUGAUUACUUUCAGGUUUCUUUUCUACAAGUGAAAACCUUGCGUAUACCUAUGAUACAACCUUCCUAAUCAGAAAGUUACCACUCAUACAUUCUAUCAUUCAAUCCUUAGAUUCUUUUCAAGUGUUGCUACUUAACUAUGGGUGCUUUUUAUGACCAAAGAAUCCCAUUCAAAUUCAGUGUGUUGGCAUAGUGUUUCAGUUUGGAAUAUGAAUAUUUGAGAGGCACAGAGAAAUAUCUGGUUAAAUUAGCAUUUGGGAGUAUUUGGACAAGGCAAAGUAAUCAAAUUAAUCAGUUGAAAAUAAAGCUUUGAUUUUUGAAUGAAACUGAACUGAGUUGCAAGAUGCGAUGUUGUAACACCAGGCAGAAUUUCCUAGUGGGCAAAAGAAACUUCAAGAGUUGGCCAGGGUUGGGGCUUUGCAUGUGUGUUUUCUCCACCUGUCUCAUAGUAGCAGGUUGGGAAAGUUCAGCAGCUCCAGUAAAUUCAGUUUUGAGGCUCCUUUCUACUGCACGCUGUCUCUACUGCAGCAGACCUUUUACAAGAAAAGAUUGAAAAGCCUUCGCUCCUGAAAUUCCUGUCUUUCUCAUUUCUCUAAAAAGUAUUUAUAUGAGUUCCUUAUGUGUGUUUUAUCAUUUGUGGUCAUAACAUAUGAGACACCAUUCCUUUUUAUCCUUUUUUUAAAAAAAUUUAAGGUGAAAAAAUUUCACAUAUUUUGUGUAUACAGAUUUAAGAGCGUGGUAAUAGUACCCACCCAAUCCUCUGUCCUGCCCAUGUUCCCACUCUCCCACUUUUUUCUUUCUGAAUUUUCCUUUAAUGUUUACAGUGAUCUACUUUCAGUUUAUUUUAUAUUCGUUAGGUUAGCCUUACACUAAGUAAAUAAUUCAACACAUAGAAGAAAUAAGCAGUAUUCAUCAAAGGUACAAUCAUUGAAUCAACGAAUUUCCAAAUGUCAAUUUUACUCAUAUACUUACAUUUAUGAUACCCUAUUAGUUACCACAGAUUAGGGAACACAGGGUAUUUAUCUUUUUGGGACUGCCUUAUUUCACUAAAUGUAAAGUUUUCCAGUUACAUCCAUUUUAUAGCAUAAGAUGGGAUUUCAUAAUUUUUUAUACCUGAGUAGUAUUCCACAUUAUAUAAAUAUACCACAGUUUCUUUAUCCCGUCAUCAGGUGAUAGACAUCUGGGUUGAUUCCAUAUCUUAUCUAGUGUGAAUUGAGGUGUAAUAAACAUGGGUGUACAGAUAAUUCUUUCACAAGCUGAGUUCAUUUUGUUUGGGUAAAUUCCCAGGAGUGAGAUCGCUGGAGCAUAUGGUAGAUCUAUUUUCAGGACUCUGAGGCAUCUCUGUAAUGUUCUCCAGUGGCUAUAGUCAUUUAUACUAACACCAAUAGUGGAUUAGGGUACCCUUUUCACCAUAUACUCAGCAGCAUUUAAUGUUUGUUGAUUUCUGUAUGAUAGCCAUUCUAAGUAGGGUGAAGUGAAACCUCAAUGUGGCUUUGAUUUGCAUUUCCGUGAUAGCUAUUUUAUAUGUGUCUGUUGGCCAUUUGAGUUUCCUCUUCUGAAAAAUGCCUCUUCAGGCCCUUCACCCUUUUCUUAACUGGAUUGUUUGUUUUAUUGUGAUUGAGAUUCUUGAGCUCUUUAUAGAUUAUGGAUAUUAAUCCUUUAUCAGUUUCAGAGUUUGCAAAUAUUUUCUUCCCUUCUGUUGGUUUCCUCUUCACUUUGUUGGCUGUUCCCUUUGCAGUGCAAAACCUUAGCUUAAAGUAAUCAAAUUUGUCUAUUUUUUUGAUUUCCUGUGCUUCCGGGGUCUUUUCCACAUCAGUGUCUUGCAGUUUCCCCAGUAUUCUUCUCUAGUAAUUUGUAGUUCUCAGGUCAUGGAUUUAGAUCUUUGAUCCACUUUGAAUUGACUGUUAUAAAAGUUGUAAGGUAAGGGUUUGUUUCACAUUCCACAUGUGGAGAUCCAAUUUUCCCAGCACCACUUGUUGAAGAGACUGCCUGUACUUUCUUCAGGUAUUGAUUCUAGCUCCUUUGUCAAAGAUUAGUUGGAUGUAGAUGUGUGGAUUGUUUUCCAAAAUUUCUAUUCUGUUCCAUUGGCCUACAUGAUUAUUUUUGUGCCAGUACACAGCUGUUUUGAUUACAAUUGCCCCGUAGUAUGUCUUGAAAUCUGGUGUUGUGAUUCCACUGGGUUUGUCUUUGUUGCUUAAGAUUUCUUUAGCUUUUGGGAUCUCUUGUGUUUCCAUAUGAAUUUUAGCAUUUUAUUUCUAGAUCUGAGAAGAAUGUCAUUGGCAUUUUGAUUGGGAUUGCAUGAAUCUGCAAAUUGCUUUUGGUAGUAUCGACAUUUUGAUGAUGUUGAUUAUACCAAACCAUGAACGUGGAUGAUUUUUUCCCAUUUUUAAGGUCUUCUUCUAUUUCCUUUUUAAUGUUUUGUAAUUUUCAUCAAAGAGCUCUUUGGUUAAAUUUAUUCCAAGGUAUUUUUUUUUGUAGUUUUGUGAAUGGGAUUGACCUUACAAGUUUUUUUUUCUCAGCCAUGGCAUUUUCUAGUAUUCAUAGGCUAUUGAUUUUUCUGUGUUAAUAUUAUAUCCUCCAAUGUUUCCAAGCUAUCUUAUGAAUGUCAGUAGUGUCUUAGUGGAAUAUUUUGGUUCCCCUGUAGAUUUCCGUCAUCUGCAAACAAGGAUAAUUUGAAUUUGUCCUUUCGAGUUGAUUCCUUUGAUUUCUAUUUUUGCCUAUUCAUUCUGCCAGAAACUUCAACUGUAUUGAAUAGCAUUGGUGAAAGCAGGCACUCUUGUCUGGUUCAAGACUUUAGUGGAAAAAGCUCCAACUUUUCCCCAUUCAAUAUGUAGCUUGCUCUGGGUUUGUCAUAAAUUGCCUUGAUUUUGUUGAGAACCGUUCCUUCUAUAUACAAUGUGCUUAAGGUUUUUAUUAUGAAAGGAUGUUGUAUUUUAUCUAAUCCUUUCUCUGCACCUAUUGAGAUCAACACAUGGUUAUUAUUCUUCAGUUUGUUAAUGUGAUGUAACACAUUUAUUGAUUUGUAUUUGUUGAACCAUCCCUGCAUACCUCAGAUAAAUCCCACUGGUUCAGGUGGAUGAUGUUUCUGUUGUGUUGUUGGAUUUGAUUAGCUAGUAUUUUGUUGAGGAUUUUUGCAUUAAUGUUCGUCAGUGAUAUUUGUCUCUACUCCCUGUUUGUUGUGUCUUCUGGUUUUGGAAUUAAGGUGAUGUUGACCUCAUAAAUAGUUUGGGAGUAUUCCCACCCUUUGAAAUGCUUUGAAUAACUUGAGAAGAAUUGGAAUUAGUUAUUUUUUAAAAAUUUGGUAGAAUUCACAUAUGAAGCCAUACAUUCAUUGGCUUUUCUUUUUUGAAAGAUCUUUACUACUGAUUCAAUAUCCAUCUUGGUUAUUAGUCCAUUUAGUUUUUCUGUGUCUUCAUGACUCCAUAUUGUUAUUUUUGUUUCAAUUUUACAUAUUUCUUCUCUACUUUUAAUUAUUUCUUUCCUCCUACUAAUUUUAGUUUGGCUUGUUGUUGUUUUUCUAGGUCCUUGAGAUGUGCUGAUAGCUCAUUUAUUUAAUGCUUUUCUAAUUUCUUGAUGUAGCCACUAACUGCUGUAAACUUCUGUCUUAACACUGUCUUUGCUGUUACAUGUUUUGAUAUGGUUUACUGACAUACUCAUUCAUUUACAGUAACUGUUUAAUUUCUUUUUUGAUUUGUUAUGUGAUCCACUGUUCGACAAGGAAUGUGUUAUUCAGUCUGCAUGUGUUUGCAUAUUUUCAAGAAAUCUUUAUUGUCUUCAGGAAAGAGGCAUGAUAUGGUUUCAUCUUUUUAAUUUGCUGAGAUUUGCUUUAUGGCUUAUCAUAUGAUCUCUCCUGGAGAGAAUUAUAUGUACUGAUGAGAACAGUGUGUAUUCUGCAACUGUGGGCUGACAGGUUCUGUAGAUAUCAGUUAGGUCCAUCUGAUCCACAGUGUAGAUUAGUUAUGUUAUUUCUUUGUUGGUUUUCUGUCUGGUGAUCUGUGCAUUUAUGAAAGUGGGUAGUUGAAUUGCCCUGUUACUAUUGUAUUGGAGUCUACAUCAGCCUUUAGAUCAAUUAACAUUUGUAUUAGCCAGGUGCCCUGGUAGUUUAGUGCAUAUAUCUAUCUUCCUGUUAAAUUCACCCUUUAAUCAUUAUUCAAUACCCUUCUUUGUCUCUUUUAAGAGUUUUUGUGUUAAAGUCUAUUUUGUCUGAUACUAGUAUACACACACCUGUUAGAUUUUGCUUUCUGUUAGCAUGGAGUAUCUUUUUCCAUACUUUAACUUUCAUUUUGUGUGUAUCUUUUUUUUAAAGAUUUAUUUAUUCACUUGAAAGUUAGAGUUACACACACACACACAAACACACACACACACGGGGUGGGGGGGGGCCUUCCAUCCGAUGGUUCACUCCCCAGUUGGCCACAACAGCCGGAACUGUGCCAAUCUGAAGCCAAGAGCCAGGAGCUUUCUCCCAGGUCUCCCUCACGGGUUCAGGGGCCCAAGGACUUAGGCCAUCUUCCACUUCUUUCCCAGGCCACAGCAGAGAGCUGGAUUGAAAGUGGAGCAGCUGAGCUGGCGCCUCGGCUCACUAGGCUAAUCCUCCGCCUUGCGGCCCCGGCACACUGGGUUCUAGUCCCGGUUGGGGCGCCGGAUUCUGUCCUGGUUGCCCCUCUUCCAGGCCAGCUCUCUGCUGUGGCCAGGGAGUGCAGUGGAGGAUGGCCCAGGUGCUUGGGCCCUGCACCCCAUGGGAGACCAGGAAAAAGCACCUGGCUCCUGGCUCCUGCCAUCGGAUCAGUGCGGUGCGCCAGCCACAGCGCGCCGGCCGCGGCGGCCAUUGGAGGGUGAACCAACGGCAAAGGAAGACCUUUCUCUCUGUCUCUCUCUCUCACUGUCCACUCUGCCUGUCCAAAAAAAAAAAAAAAGUGGAUCAGCUGGGUCUCGAACCAGUGCCCAUAUGGGAUGCCGGCGCUUCAGGCCAGGGUGUUAACUCACUGCACCACAGCACCAGCUCCAUGUAUAUCUUUUUUUUUUUUUAACAAAAAUUCAUUUAUUUAUAUGAAAGGCAGAAUUACAGAGAGGUAGAGGCAGAGAGAGAUAGAGAGGUCGUCUAUCCUCUGGUUCACUUCCCAGAUGACUGCAAUGUGCAGAGAUGAGCCCAACCAAAGCUAAGAGCCAGGAGAUUCUUCUGGGUCUCUCACGUGCUUUUAGGGGCCCAAGGACUUGGGUCGUCUUCUACUGCUUUCCCAGGCCAUAGCAGAGAGCUGAAUUUGAAGUGGAGGAGCCAGGACUCGAACCAAUACCCAUAUUGGAUGGCAGCACUACAGACGGUGGUAUUACCUGCUAUUAAACAAUGCCAGCCCCUUGUGUGUAUCUGUGGUGUCUGGUCUUGUUUUUUAAUCCAUUCAACUAAUCUGUACUUGUUAAUUGGAGAAUGGACCAUUUACAUUCAAGGUUACUAUAAAGAAGUAACGACUUGGCCCUUCCAUUUUCCCAUAAGUGUUCAUAUUAUUUGCUUUGGAUUUCCUAGGAGAUUUUCUGCCUUCACAUUCAUUCAUACAUAAUGAUAACUAGCUGUGUUUCUGUAUGUGGCAUAUCUUUAAGCAUCACUUAUAAGGCUGGACAAGUGGUGACAAACUUGCAAUUUCUGUUUGUUAAGGAAGGUUUUUAUUUCAACUUAAUUCACAAAUGAGAACUUUGCAAAGUACUAUGUUCUGGGCUGACAGGUUUUUUUUUUUUCUUUUUUUGUCUUAAGACUUGGACUAUCUCUCCAGUCUCCCCUAGCCUGUAACCUUUCUGGUGAGAAAUCAGCUGUGAGUUGACUGGAAAUCCUCUGAAAAUGAUCUGGCAUUUCCCUCGUGCACAUUUUAGAAUCUUUUCUUUGUUUUACUUUUGAAAGUUUGCAAUGUGUCAUGAUGAAGUUCUGUUCUUUUUUAUCUUCCUCUUUUUUUGUUUUAUUUAAGUUAUACAAGUUUCAUAUAUAUUUAAUAUAUACAGAUUUAGGAUCAUAGUGGGACACCCUGCCCAUCUGCCCUCCUACCCACAUUCCAACCUUUCCUCCACCUCCCUCUUAGAUUCCCUGAUCAUGUCUAUUAGGAUUUCUAUGUGAUCCUUAUACUGGGAUGUCCCUUUCUUUGUUCAAAUUAAGGAAGUUUUCUGUUAUUAUUUAACUGAAUUUGCCUUCUCAUUCAUUCUCUUUCCACACAUUCAGGAACUCCUACGACCUAUAUGUCGAUUAGUUUGAUAGUAUCCCAUAAAUCUUGACCACUUUUUAAUUUAUCUAAUUUAUUCUUUUUUUUGGUCUGAUAUUUUCUGUGAUUUUUCAUCUAGCUCAGAUAUUCUUUCUUCUGCUUCACUAAGUCUGUUAUUAAUAGUUUCCUCUGUAUUUUUAUUUGAAAUGUUGAACACUUCAUUUCUAAUAUUUUAAUUUAAUUUUGCUUUAAAAUCUCAAUCCCAUGGGAAAAUUUUCCAUCCAUAUCAUGUAUGGAUUUUGUUUACUCAUGAAUUUGCUUCUUAUUGCUUCUGAAUAAUCCUAUGAUCAUUCUUUUGAAUUCCAUUUCAGGCAUUUCCUCAAUCUCUUGGUCUUCACAUUCUCAUAUUGAAGUGUUGUUACGUUCCAUUUGGCGGAGUCAUGUUAUCUUUGUUAUUCUUGUUUCUUGAAUUUAUGCCUAAGUUUUCAUGCAUUUGUGGAAUUACUUGUUGGUUUUCUCCUCUGAUACAUUGUAUGUGUGAAUUAUGCCUCUGUGGCUUAAUGUAAUGUCUGCUAUUUCAAUGAAAACCCAGAAUCAUGUGCUUGGUGUGGCCAGGGAGUUCUACUCAGUGCUCAGGGUGAAGUGAGACUCCAGGGUGACACCCACGUUGGGUGUGGUAGAUCUCCAUUGACGCAAUGACAGCCUCACCUCCUGUCAUCCAAAGUGAUCAACGCUCAGGGUUAGCCCCCAGUGUAUACACCCCUCAUCCAUGGUGGCACAUGACCCACACAAAAGAUAUGUGCAGUCCUCACUGUGACCAGGGGACCCUUUGCAAUGAACUACCUCAGGUGAUCAGGAGCUCUGAUGUGAGACACAGGGAUUGCCCAGAGAAUCAGCUAUACCUCACACCGUAUCAUGCAGUCACCGAAUUCACACAAUCACAGCACUCAAGGUCCUCAUAACCACAGGGCUCAGAAGAUAUGCUCAGCCUUGGAGCUUGCACCUUCCACAGAGAGUGCGGAUGCAAGAAGUUCGCAGAGCCAGCUAUUUGUGGGUGCUUUACCUUGGCAGUUUGGGCCCCAGAGCUUGUGAUAUAUUGAGAGGAUAGAAGUACCUCACAAUCCUACGUGGGUGUCCAGCACCUUGUUAAACCCUCAGCAAGACUCCUAGUCAGUGGGGGAACACAGUAUUUUCUCUCUGCUAAAAUCCCCUUGUUACAGGCCCACACAAGAACCACCACAGCCUCUGCUGUGUCAAAAUGGCACUUUCUCAUGGACAUCACUGUGGUUUAGUCGCUUAAAUCAAUCUGCAGGGCUCACAUCUGAUAUCCGCUCCAAUUCAAAUACUAGCUAGUCCACUUCUGACCCAGCUCCCUGCUAAUGCUCUGGGAAAGCAGUAGAGGACGGCCUAAGUGCUUGGGCCCUUGCCCCUAUAUUGGAGACCCAGAGGAAGCUCUGGACUCUCAGCUUUGGCUUGGUCCAAUCCUGGCCAUUCUCACCAUUGGAAGUGAAACAGCAGAUGGAAGAUCUCUUUCUCUCUCUCUCUCUGUCUCUCCCUCUGUGGCUUUCAAAUAAAUACAUCUGUUUUUAAAAAAAUGGUAUCUUCUCUCCAUCAGCUGCUGGGUGUCUUUGUUGGGAGAUGAGAAAGAAACCUGCUCAAUUGGCUGGAUUAAGUGGCUACCCUCUCCCCUGCACUCUCCAGGCUGGAAUCACAGAAAUGUGGUCUGAAAGGCUCUCCCUCUGACAAUAUCACAAGUGGCAUGGGCUGCCACAGAAUGCUCUUACCUCACACCCCAAAGCUGUCAUCUCCUCUAGCUCCUAGCUGUGGGUAUCGUGUGUGGUGUCCAUGCUUGUUGCUACCCACCCGCGGCUUCCACAUUGCUUCAUAGCCUCUUCCUUCUGUAGCAUGUCCACCACAAACUUCCCUCCAGCUCUCCCCGGGAAUGCACUUCUUCUGUUUGUCUUCUACUAUUUCCCCUUGGUCAAAAAUAGCACAUCUUUCCCCUAUUCAUCCAUCUUGGAAUCUCCCCCAUGACACACCAUUCCAUUUGCUAAAUUAGUUGGAGAAAUUGAUUUUACCAGAAAGAUUCAGAAGUAAUGGAGCAUUAUAUUCUAGUGAAAAGUUUAGACAUAGAAUCCUUAAACUUCAGAGAAUCAGUGAGGUUGCAACUCAUAUCCAUAGCCAGAGACAGAAUUAGAGGGCUACAAGUCCUAGCAUUUCUGUGGCCUGUUUAACUUUGGUUGUUUGAUUUAGCAACCUGUGCCUGGGCAAGAGAGGAAAACACCCAAUAUAUUUACCUCCCCCUAGUUAAAAAUAUAUUUGUUUGCUUUGUCUCUAAUUACUGAAAUAUGUUCUCUUACACAGGCAUGGUAUUUUUCUGAAUGAUUUGUUAUCAUAUUUUUAUACUUCU